AUAAGUUUCUUUCCACUCAAAUAAUGCUUUAAAUUAAAAAAAGAAUAAAAAAUCAGAAAAAAUUUCAAAAAAAUUUUCCACUCGAAAAUUUCAUAAGGGGUACCCCUUGCCAUUUUUUUUGAGAAAUUUAGCAAAAUUUAAAAAUUUGUUUUAUUUUAAUGCGAAAUUGUUGCAAUUAGUUCCUUUUUACUCAAACAAUGCUUUAAAUUAAAAAAAGGUAAAAAAUAAUGAAAAUAUUGAACAAAUCUAUAAAUUUGUCAAUCCACUAAGGCUCAUUUUCCCACCAAGUUUUGCCUAUAACUCGGUCGGUAUCCAACGGAUCGCCAAUCCUUAACCUGUGGUCGAUAGAUGGCACCAAUGGCUACCUUUUCUUCGUAGACGGCCAUGCCCUCAGAUGUCUGUGCCAGAAGUUAUGCGAGGAACCAAGUUCCUUACCCUGUUUGAGAAAAUGUAAAAUUUUCCUCAUUUUUGCACCAAAUUUUGCCUAUAACUCGGUCGGUAUCUAACGGAUCUCCAAUCUUUGCCUAUGGUCGAUAGAUGGCAUCAAUGGCUACAUUUUCUUCUUGGACGGCCAUGCCCUCAGAUGUCUGUGCCAGAAGUUAUGCGAGGAACCAAGUUCCUUACCCUGUUUGAGAAAAUGUAAAAUGUUCCUCAUUUUUCUGCAAUUCAGCAAAAUUUUUACAUUUGAUAUAUUUCGUUGCGAAUUUGUUGCAAUAAGUUUCUUUCCGCUCAAAUAAUGCUUUAAAUUAAAAAAAGAAUAAAAAAUCAGAAAAAAAUUUCAAAAAAAUUUUCCACUCGAAAAUUUCAUAAGGGGUACCCCUUGCCAUUUUUUUGAGAAAUUUAGCAAAAUUUAAAAAUUUGUUUUAUUUUAAUGAGAAGUUGUUGCAAUUAGUUCCUUUUCACUCAAACAAUGCUUUAAAUUAAAAAAAGGUAAAAAAUAAUGAAAAUAUUGAACAAAUCUAUAAAUUUGUCAAUCCACUAAGGCUCAUUUUCGCACCAAGUUUUGCCUAUAACUCGGUCGGUAUCCAACGGAUCGCCAAUCCUUAACCUGUGGUCGAUAGAUGGCACCAAUGGCUACCUUUUCUUCGUAGACGGCCAUGCCCUCAGAUGUCUGUGCCAGAAGUUAUGCGAGGAACCAAGUUCCUUACCCUGUUUGAGAAAAUGUAAAAUGUUCCUCAUUUUUGCACCAAAUUUUGCCUAUAACUCGGUCGGUAUCUAACGGAUCUCCAAUCUUUGCCUAUGGUCGAUAGAUGGCAUCAAUGGCUACAUUUUCUUCUUGGACGGCCAUGCCCUCAGAUGUCUGUGCCAGAAGUUAUGCGAGGAACCAAGUUCCUUACCCUGUUUGAGAAAAUGUAAAAUGUUCCUCAUUUUUCUGCAAUUCAGCAAAAUUUUUAAAUGUGAUAUAUUUCAUUGCGAAUUUGUUGCAAUAAGUUUCUUUCCACUCAAAUAUUGCUUUAAAUUAAAAAAAGAAUAAAAAAUCAGAAAAAAAUUUCAAAAAAAUUUUCCACUCGAAAAUUUCAUAAGGGGUACCCCUUGCCAUUUUUUGAGAAAUUUAGCAAAAUUUAAAAAUUUGUUUUAUUUUAAUGCGAAAUUGUUGCAAUUAGUUCCUUUUCACUCAAACAAUGCUUUAAAUUAAAAAAAGGUAAAAAAUAAUGAAAAAAAUUGAAAAAAUCUAUAAAUUUGUCAAUCCACUAAGGCUCAUUUUCGCACCAAGUUUUGCCUAUAGCUCGGUCGGUAUCCAACGGAUCGCCAAUCUUUAACCUGUGGUCAAUAAAUGGCACCAAUGGCUACAAUUUCUUCUUGGACGGCCAUGCCCUCAGAUGUCUGUGCCAGAAGUUAUGCGAGGAACCAAGUUCCUUACCCUGUUUGAGAAAAUGUAAAAUGUUCCUCAUUUUUGCACCAAGUUUUGCCUAUAACUCGGUCGGUAUCUAACGGAUCUCCAAUCUUUGCCUGUGGUCGAUAGAUGGCACCAAUGGCUACAUUUUCUUCUUGGACGGCCAUGCCCUCAGAUGUCUGUGCCAGAAGUUAUGCGAGGAACCAAGUUCCUUACCCUGUUUGAGAAAAUGUAAAAUGUUCCUCAUUUUUCUGCAAUUCAGCAAAAUUUUUAAAUGUGAUAUAUUUCAUUGCGAGUUUGUUGCAAUAAGUUUCUUUCCACUCAAAUAAUGCUUCAAAUUAAAAAAAGAAUAAAAAAUCAGAAAAAAAUUUCAAAAAAAUUUUCCACUCGAAAAUUUCAUAAGGGGUACCCCUUGCCAUUUUUUUGAGAAAUUUAGCAAAAUUUAAAAAUUUGUUUUAUUUUAAUGCGAAAUUGUUGCAAUUAGUUCCUUUUCACUCAAACAAUGCUUUAAAUUAAAAAAAGGUAAAAAAUAAUGAAAAAAAUUGAAAAAAUCUAUAAAUUUGUCAAUCCACUAAGGCUCAUUUACGCACCAAGUUUUGCCUAUAACUCGGUCGGUAUCUAACGGAUCUCCAAUCUUUGCCUGUGGUCGAUAGAUGGCAUCAAUGGCUACUUCUUCUUCUUGGAUGGCCAUGCCCUCAGAUGUCUGUGCCAGAAGUUAUGCGAGGAACCAAGUUCCUUACCCUGUUUGAGAAAAUGUAAAAUGUUCCUCAUUUUUGCACCAAAUUUUGCCUAUAACUCGGUCGGUAUCUAACGGAUCUCCAAUCUUUGCCUAUGGUCGAUAGAUGGCACCAAUGGCUACAUUUUCUUCUUGGACGGCCAUGCCCUCAGAUGUCUGUGCCAGAAGUUAUGCGAGGAACCAAGUUCCUUACCCUGUUUGAGAAAAUGUAAAAUGUUCCUCAUUUUUCUGCAAUUCAGCAAAAUUUUUAAAUGUGAUAUAUUUCAUUGCGAAUUUGUUGCAAUAAGUUUCUUUUCACUCAAAUAAUGCUUCAAAUUAAAAAAAGAAUAAAAAAUCAGAAAAAAAUUUCAAAAAAAUUUUCCACUCGAAAAUUUCAUAAGGGGUACCCCUUGCCAUUUUUUUGAGAAAUUUAGCAAAAUUUAAAAAUUUGUUUUAUUUUAAUGCGAAAUUGUUGCAAUUAGUUCCUUUUCACUCAAACAAUGCUUUAAAUUAAAAAAAGGUAAAAAAUAAUGAAAAAAAUUGAAAAAAUCUAUAAAUUUGUCAAUCCACUAAGGCUCAUUUACGCACCAAGUUUUGCCUAUAACUCGGUCGGUAUCUAACGGAUCGCCAAUCUUUGCCUGUGGUCGAUAGAUGGCAUCAAUGGCUACUUUUUCUUCUUGGACGGCCAUGCCCUCAGAUGUCUGUGCCAGAAGUUAUGCGAGGAACCAAGUUCCUUACCCUGUUUGAGAAAAUGUAAAAUGUUCCUCAUUUUUGCACCAAAUUUUGCCUAUAACUCGGUCGGUAUCUAACGGAUCUCCAAUCUUUGCCUAUGGUCGAUAGAUGGCACCAAUGGCUACAUUUUCUUCUUGGACGGCCAUGCCCUCAGAUGUCUGUGCCAGAAGUUAUGCGAGGAACCAAGUUCCUUACCCUGUUUGAGAAAAUGUAAAAUGUUCCUCAUUUUUCUGCAAUUCAGCAAAAUUUUUAAAUGUGAUAUAUUUCAUUGCGAGUUUGUUGCAAUAAGUUUCUUUCCACUCAAAUAAUGCUUCAAAUUAAAAAAAGAAUAAAAAAUCAGAAAAAAAUUUCAAAAAAAUUUUCCACUCGAAAAUUUCAUAAGGGGUACCCCUUGUCAUUUCUUUGAGAAAUUUAGCAAAAUUUAAAAAUUUGUUUUAUUUUAAUGCGAAAUUAUUGCAAUUAGUUCCUUUUCACUCAAACAAUGCUUUAAAUUAAAAAAAGGUAAAAAAUAAUGAAAAAAAUUGAAAAAAUCUAUAAAUUUGUCAAUCCACUAAGGCCCAUUUUCGCACCAAGUUUUGCCUAUAACUCGGUCGGUAUCUAACGGAUCUCCAAUCUUUAACCUGUGGUCGAUAGAUGGCACCAAUGGCUACCUUUUCUUCGUAGACGGCCAUGCCCUCAGAUGUCUGUGCCAGAAGUUAUGCGAGGAACCAAGUUCCUUAUCCUGUUUGAGAAAAUGUAAAAUGUUCCUCAUUUUUGCACCAAAUUUUGCCUAUAACUCGGUCGGUAUCUAACGGAUCUCCAAUCUUUGCCUAUGGUCGAUAGAUGGCACCAAUGGCUACAUUUUCUUCUUGGACGGCCAUGCCCUCAGAUGUCUGUGCCAGAAGUUAUGCGAGGAACCAAGUUCCUUACCCUGUUUGAGAAAAUGUAAAAUGUUCCUCAUUUUUCUGCAAUUCAGCAAAAUUUUUAAAUGUGAUAUAUUUCAUUGCGAAUUUGUUGCAAUAAGUUUCUUUUCACUCAAAUAAUGCUUCAAAUUAAAAAAAAGAAUAAAAAAUCAGAAAAAAAUUUCAAAAAAAUUUUCCACUCGAAAAUUUCAUAAGGGGUACCCCUUGCCAUUUUUUUGAGAAAUUUAGCAAAAUUUAAAAAUUUGUUUUAUUUUAAUGCGAAAUUGUUGCAAUUAGUUCCUUUUCACUCAAACAAUGCUUUAAAUUAAAAAAAGGUAAAAAAUAAUGAAAAAAAUUGAAAAAAUCUAUAAAUUUGUCAAUCCACUAAGGCUCAUUUUGGCACCAAGUUUUGCCUAUAGCUCGGUCGGUAUCUAACGGAUCGUCAAUCUUUAACCUGUGGUCGAUAAAUGGCACCAAUGGCUACAAUUUCUUCUUGGACGGCCAUGCCCUCAGAUGUCUGUGCCAGAAGUUAUGCGAGGAACCAAGUUCCUUACCCUGUUUGAGAAAAUGUAAAAUUUUCCUCAUUUUUGCACCAAAUUUUGCCUAUAACUCGGUCGGUAUAAAACGGACCUCCAAUCUUUGCCUAUGGUCGAUAGAUGGCACCAAUGGCUACAUUUUCUUCUUGGACGGCCAUGGCUUCAGAUGUCUGUGCCAGAAGUUAUGCGAGGAACCAAGUUCCUUACCCUGUUUGAGAAAAUGUAAAAUGUUCCUCAUUUUUGCACCAAAUUUUGCCUAUAACUCGGUCGGUAUAUAACGGACCUCCAAUCUUUGCCUAUGGUCGAUAGAUGGCACCAAUGGCUACAUUUUCUUCUUGGACGGCCAUGCCCUCAGAUGUCUGUGCCAGAAGUUAUGCGAGGAACCAAGUUCCUUACCCUGUUUGAGAAAAUGUAAAAUGUUCCUCAUUUUUCUGCAAUUCAGCAAAAUUUUUAAAUGUGAUAUAUUUCAUUGCGAAUUUGUUGCAAUAAGUUUCUUUUCACUCAAAUAAUGCUUCAAAUUAAAAAAAGAAUAAAAAAUCAGAAAAAAAUUUCAAAAAAAUUUUCCACUCGAAAAUUUCAUAAGGGGUACCCCUUGCCAUUUUUUUGAGAAAUUUAGCAAAAUUUAUAAAUUUAUUUUAUUUUAAUGCGAAAUUGUUGCAAUUAGUUCCUUUUCACUCAAACAAUGCUUUAAAUUAAAAAAAGGUAAAAAAUAAUGAAAAAAAUUGAAAAAAUCUAUAAAUUUGUCAAUCCACUAAGGCUCAUUUUCACACCAAGUUUUGCCUAUAACUCGGUCGGUAUCCAACGGAUCUCCAAUCUUUGCCUGUGGUCGAUAGAUGGCAUCAAUGGCUACAUUUUCUUCGUAGACGGCCAUGCCCUCAGAUGUCUGUGCCAGAAGUUAUGCGAGGAACCAAGUUCCUUACCCUGUUUGAGAAAAUGUAAAAUGUUCCUCAUUUUUGCACCAAGUUUUGCCUAUAACUCGGUCGGUAUCUAACGGAUCUCCAAUCUUUGCCUGUGGUCGAUAGAUGGCACCAAUGGCUACAUUUUCUUCUUGGACGGCCAUGCCCUCAGAUGUCUGUGCCAGAAGUUAUGCGAGGAACCAAGUUCCUUACCCUGUUUGAGAAAAUGUAAAAUGUUCCUCAUUUUUGCACCAAAUUUUGCCUAUAACUCGGUCGGUAUAUAACGGACCUCCAAUCUUUGCCUAUGGUCGAUAGAUGGCACCAAUGGCUACAUUUUCUUCUUGGACGGCCAUGCCCUCAGAUGUCUGUGCCAGAAGUUAUGCGAGGAACCAAGUUCCAUACCCUGUUUGAGAAAAUGUAAAAUGUUCCUCAUUUUUCUGCAAUUCAGCAAAAUUUUUAAAUGUGAUAUAUUUCAUUGCGAAUUUGUUGCAAUAAGUUUCUUUUCACUCAAAUAAUGCUUCAAAUUAAAAAAAGAAUAAAAAAUCAGAAAAAAAUUUCAAAAAAAUUUUCCACUCGAAAAUUUCAUAAGGGGUACCCCUUGCCAUUUUUUUGAGAAAUUUAGCAAAAUUUAAAAAUUUGUUUUAUUUUAAUGCGAAAUUGUUGCAAUUAGUUCCUUUUCACUCAAACAAUGCUUUAAAUUAAAAAAAGGUAAAAAAUAAUGAAAAAAAUUGAAAAAAUCUAUAAAUUUGUCAAUCCACUAAGGCUCAUUUUCACACCAAGUUUUGCCUAUAACUCGGUCGGUAUCCAACGGAUCUCCAAUUUUUGCCUGUGGUCGAUAGAUGGCACCAAUGGCUACAUUUUCUUCGUAGACGGCCAUGCCCUCAGAUGUCUGUGCCAGAAGUUAUGCGAGGAACCAAGUUCCUUACCCUGUUUGAGAAAAUGUAAAAUGUUCCUCAUUUUUGCACCAAGUUUUGACUAUAACUCGGUCGGUAUCUAACGGAUCUCCAAUCUUUGCCUGUGGUCGAUAGAUGGCACCAAUGGCUACAUUUUCUUCUUGGACGGCCAUGCCCUCAGAUGUCUGUGCCAGAAGUUAUGCGAGGAACCAAGUUCCUUACCCUGUUUGAGAAAAUGUAAAAUGUUCCUCAUUUUUGCACCAAAUUUUGCCUAUAACUCGGUCGGUAUAUAACGGACCUCCAAUCUUUGCCUAUGGUCGAUAGAUGGCACCAAUGGCUACAUUUUCUUCUUGGACGGCCAUGCCCUCAGAUGUCUGUGCCAGAAGUUAUGCGAGGAACCAAGUUCCUUACCCUGUUUGAGAAAAUGUAAAAUGUUCCUCAUUUUUCUGCAAUUCAGCAAAAUUUUUAAAUGUGAUAUAUUUCGUUGCGAAUUUGUUGCAAUAAGUUUCUUUUCACUCAAAUAAUGCUUCAAAUUAAAAAAGAAUAAAAAAUCAGAAAAAAAUUUCAAAAAAAUUUUCCACUCGAAAAUUUCAUAAGGGGUACCCCUUGCCAUUUUUUUGAGAAAUUUAGCAAAAUUUAUAAAUUUAUUUUAUUUUAAUGCGAAAUUGUUGCAAUUAGUUCCUUUUCACUCAAACAAUGCUUUAAAUUAAAAAAAGGUAAAAAAUAAUGAAAAAAAUUGAAAAAAUCUAUAAAUUUGUCAAUCCACUAAGGCUCAUUUUCACACCAAGUUUUGCCUAUAACUCGGUCGGUAUCCAACGGAUCUCCAAUCUUUGCCUGUGGUCGAUAGAUGGCAUCAAUGGCUACAUUUUCUUCGUAGACGGCCAUGCCCUCAGAUGUCUGUGCCAGAAGUUAUGCGAGGAACCAAGUUCCUUACCCUGUUUGAGAAAAUGUAAAAUGUUCCUCAUUUUUGCACCAAGUUUUGCCUAUAACUCGGUCGGUAUCUAACGGAUCUCCAAUCUUUGCCUGUGGUCGAUAGAUGGCACCAAUGGCUACAUUUUCUUCUUGGACGGCCAUGCCCUCAGAUGUCUGUGCCAGAAGUUAUGCGAGGAACCAAGUUCCUUACCCUGUUUGAGAAAAUGUAAAAUGUUCCUCAUUUUUGCACCAAAUUUUGCCUAUAACUCGGUCGGUAUAUAACGGACCUCCAAUCUUUGCCUAUGGUCGAUAGAUGGCACCAAUGGCUACAUUUUCUUCUUGGACGGCCAUGCCCUCAGAUGUCUGUGCCAGAAGUUAUGCGAGGAACCAAGUUCCUUACCCUGUUUGAGAAAAUGUAAAAUGUUCCUCAUUUUUCUGCAAUUCAGCAAAAUUUUUAAAUGUGAUAUAUUUCAUUGCGAAUUUGUUGCAAUAAGUUUCUUUUCACUCAAAUAAUGCUUCAAAUUAAAAAAAGAAUAAAAAAUCAGAAAAAAAUUUCAAAAAAAUUUUCCACUCGAAAAUUUCAUAAGGGGUACCCCUUGCCAUUUUUUUGAGAAAUUUAGCAAAAUUUAAAAAUUUGUUUUAUUUUAAUGCGAAAUUGUUGCAAUUAGUUCCUUUUCACUCAAACAAUGCUUUAAAUUAAAAAAAGGUAAAAAAUAAUGAAAAAAAUUGAAAAAAUCUAUAAAUUUGUCAAUCCACUAAGGCUCAUUUUCACACCAAGUUUUGCCUAUAACUCGGUCGGUAUCCAACGGAUCUCCAAUUUUUGCCUGUGGUCGAUAGAUGGCACCAAUGGCUACAUUUUCUUCGUAGACGGCCAUGCCCUCAGAUGUCUGUGCCAGAAGUUAUGCGAGGAACCAAGUUCCUUACCCUGUUUGAGAAAAUGUAAAAUGUUCCUCAUUUUUGCACCAAGUUUUGACUAUAACUCGGUCGGUAUCUAACGGAUCUCCAAUCUUUGCCUGUGGUCGAUAGAUGGCACCAAUGGCUACAUUUUCUUCUUGGACGGCCAUGCCCUCAGAUGUCUGUGCCAGAAGUUAUGCGAGGAACCAAGUUCCUUACCCUGUUUGAGAAAAUGUAAAAUGUUCCUCAUUUUUGCACCAAAUUUUGCCUAUAACUCGGUCGGUAUAUAACGGACCUCCAAUCUUUGCCUAUGGUCGAUAGAUGGCACCAAUGGCUACAUUUUCUUCUUGGACGGCCAUGCCCUCAGAUGUCUGUGCCAGAAGUUAUGCGAGGAACCAAGUUCCUUACCCUGUUUGAGAAAAUGUAAAAUGUUCCUCAUUUUUCUGCAAUUCAGCAAAAUUUUUAAAUGUGAUAUAUUUCAUUGCGAAUUUGUUGCAAUAAGUUUCUUUUCACUCAAAUAAUGCUUCAAAUUAAAAAAAGAAUAAAAAAUCAGAAAAAAAUUUCAAAAAAAUUUUCCACUCGAAAAUUUCAUAAGGGGUACCCCUUGCCAUUUUUUUGAGAAAUUUAGCAAAAUUUAUAAAUUUAUUUUAUUUUAAUGCGAAAUUGUUGCAAUUAGUUCCUUUUCACUCAAACAAUGCUUUAAAUUAAAAAAAGGUAAAAAAUAAUGAAAAAAAUUGAAAAAAUCUAUAAAUUUGUCAAUCCACUAAGGCCCAUUUUCGCACC